CAUUUUAAUUAUACGGGGAGCGAAACAAAGUCAAAGCAGAACAAUGAACAAGAGCAAAUAUAAAGAAAGGGAGGCUAGUUAAUGGAACAUUAACGUAAGAAUUUAAUGCAACCAGGCUGAAUCCGUUUUGCAGCAUGGAAGGAAGGAAAACAGUGCUAUUGUCCUGGAAAGAAGUGAGCGCAGCCUAGCUCCCAGCCUGUUGUACGUGGAAGGGCUGCCGUGGCCCUGAGCGGGUUGUUUCCGCUGGAGAGAUGCUUUUAACACUGAGCAUCUUUAGGGAUCUGGGAACCAACUAUCUAGCCUUGAAACCCAUAGAAAUGCCAGGUACACAGCCAUUCAUUCUUAUCAUUUAAUCUCCAUUGGCAAAUAGCUCAGAGUAUACUCUAAGCUACUCUUGCCACAGUCCUACCUGUACAAUAAGACACAUUUUGAAAAGAGCCAUCCAUUUGCCAGGACACCAUUUUUAGCACACACCACACCUGGUUAUUCUUAUACCCCAAAUGUGGGCAUUUCAUAAGGGUCAAGUUACCACUCGUACCCUCUGUGGUCAGAGUGAAAAAGAGGCUGUGCUAAAGAUACAUAGAUAUAAUUCUAAUGUACUAACAAUGCCGAUGUGCUGGUAUCAUGCAAUGUGCUAAUAUGAUUGUGGUACAUAAUAAUGUGAUGCUAAUGCCAAAAUUUGCCUUCUCCUCUUGCAUGGGGAAGAGCCACUCUCUUCCACUGGCCUGCUGACUACAGAGGGAGCCCAGGGUGACCACCUGGCUGGUUUAACUGCUCAGCAUUGGAUCACAAUGCUGCCAGGAGCAAGUAACUUUCCUUAAAGGAGCCCCUCUAAAAUCUGUUCAGGUUUCAAGUAAACUCUUUCCUAUUCCAAACCUCUUUGGUUUUCCCACAAUUAGUGUGAGACACUUCAACAUAUGUGCAUGAGAAGAAGAGAUGGAAGUUAAGGAUCCUUUGCUUAUUUGUCCCAAAUGCUGUCUCAGCUUGUGUGACUGUUGGUGCUGUGAUGAAAUUUUUAUUACAGUCCCUGAACUUAAGCCAAGUUUUCAGACCUGUUGAUGACAUGUCAGAAAGUGCAAAAGAAUCAAAGGGUUUUCCACAGAAAGCAUUUAUGUGUCAUGAGAUACGUAUUUUAACCAUAAACUUGCAGUUCCUGGCAGACUGUGACUGGUUUAGUUAAGCUUACAUAAAUCAAAGCACAAUGCACAGACUAUGAACAUCAAAAACAUCAGAAUCCCACAAACAGGUAUGUCACUGCCUGGCAGCUUUGGCCAAAAUUUGCAAAAAGGGAUCAAAGAGCUUCUACUCAACAUGUAGGACUUAAUGUAAAUCAUAGUCAUCCUACUGGGGGUUUCGCAAUUGCCUUUACUAGGAGGCAAAGUCAUCCUUCUGUGGGGAGGCAGGAAGCAAGAAGAGUCAUCCUUAAUAUGAAGGGGUAUCCUAAUAUAUUCUGCAGUUACUUGAACAAGUGGUUUUUUUGUGUGUUGUUUUUUAAAGCAGCUAACUAGCUAGUAUCACUAUGUAGAUAUACAAGCAAGUCAAUAAAGCAAGCCAUAUGUCAUUUCAUAGUUGUUUUUUAAUCAUCUUAGUAUGCUUUUAUGUAAUGCAUGUUCCUAGCAAAUGCACUACAGAUUUGAGAAAGUGCUGCUAGUGAACAGUGAGAUGGCAAAGAAUAGAAAAAUAUACUUGCUUAAAGUUAUAUCAUAGUAUUCCAAAUUUCAUUAUGAUGUUUGGACCUGAAUGAUUUCCACUGAAUAGUAGGACCUUUUCCAAAUGCCACUUCAGGGAGAAGUAUUAGGCUGUUUAUGCAAUGAAUGGAUCAAAGUGUAAAGUCUCAAGUCUUCAAAUUUUGAAUUUCGUCUGAUACUAGACCUAGGCCAGGAUCAAAAUAACCUUCCCCCAAAUCUGAAAAACUUGCAAUUUUAAAAGCUGACUGUUGCCAAACUUCUUAAAAUUUUAAAUCCAGAAACAUAUGCAGUUCUGAUUCUUUCAACAUUAUCACCCUAAUGCAGUGUGUCUGGAUCCCAUGUUGUAGUUUAUUGCAUCAUAAAUGCCUCCAUUGUGUAACACUCUAUGUAAAACCUCAGUAAAAUAAGCCAUUGAUCAUGGGAACCAGAGUAAAUAUGGAUAACCAGAUUUUUUUUUCUGUUUUUACUGGAAUUCUUAAUCCAGCAAAAUUAAUGUACCACCACAGAAGGCCACAGUUUGCUCUUCUGCUCUACAUCUUCUAACUAUAUUUAUAGCCCAUUUCAGAAAAGAAACUAAUUAGCACAGCCCUUGACUAUUCCAUUCCAUCAUCAGAAUGAAUGAAGGAUGGUGUGUAAAACUAUUUGGAAUUAUGGCCUUUUCAGGAACAUUUCUUGUGACUCAGUGUUAGAGGAUAUGCCAGUGAAAACAACUGUUAAAUGAAUGGAGCUUGGGAUCCAUUCCUCAGAGGUUUGCCUGCUUCACCUUCUACUAUCCUAGUAUCCACAAAUUUUCCCCUCAAGCCAACCAGUAGGAGAUGGUUUUGGCCAUUCCUCUCUUCCAGGAGUACUUGAGAAAGUUGCAGAGGCCAGGCCAGUUAUCCUGAUGGCAAAUGGAGAAAAAUCUCUGGGUGUUUCAGAGGAGUCUAAAUGGUAGUAUAUCUGAAGUCUACAGUGUGUUGUAUUAAUGUUGCCAGGUCAAAUCUUUUGGGCCCAGAUGUUCUCUUGCAUGUAAAUACAGAAGUGCUUGCAAAAGUCGGAACAAACUUUCUUCCUGGAGCUGAUCAUGUAUGUCAGCAGUAAUUCAAAUCACCCCUGGAAGAGCCUGUGGUAUUAAAGCUUUCCUUCUGGAGCGGGUCAGACUCACUUUAUUCUUCUCUGAGGAUAGUUUUUCACACUAUUCAGGUACAUAUAAAGCUGGCAGGACAGAGGGCUUGGCAUCACUUCACUGUAGGCAGCCCAGCUCUAAUGAGAGGCCCUUCUAGACCCCACUAGAAGCAAACUGGUUUGCAUUUUCCUUAGUAUGUGCUCUGUACCAUAAUGUUGUCACAUCCUCAAGUGCAGCAUUGAUGGAAGCUCUGCAAUGGCCUUGUGGAGGGUAAUGAAGUGUCAGCAGUAAGAAGCAGGAGACAUUCAUGAAAAUAUUCAUCUCUGGCCUCAUCUGUUGACACCCAGUAGGAUUGAUGCAUGAACAUAGCAGACGAAGGACAUAAACAGGCAAGAGACUGGCAAAUAUCUCAUUAACAGCUGAUAUAUGUGACAUCUUCUUUUGGAAGACAGAUGAGCAGAAGGUACUCAGAAAAAGUUCCCAGCAUUACAGAUGCAAGUAACAGCAGGGGGUGGCAGCUCCUGGAAUUAUUUCUGCAAUUUCCUGAACAUUUUCCAUGAAGUGCUGACUUGCAGUCUGCAGUCUGUAUCACUUAGAGCAAUAUUCAGCAUCACAAAGGAUCAGAUCCCAUAGCAGAAUCCAGCGAAUCUGGACUUACAACUUGUCAGCAGUAAUCCACUGUCUAAAUCAAAGAUGUGUGAGAAGCCAUAUCUUUCCAUUUCCACCUAGAGGCCACAGGAUAUAGGAACAUACUACAGCCUCACAGGUAGGGAAAGAUUCAGAUCAGAUAGGUGGAGGCCAGGAAGAACAAUGAGAAUUGUGAGGAACUCAGAGCCCAUGGAAUGUAAGGAAACACUGGUAGUCUGCCAGACUAUUGGUCGUCAAAAGCAACAGUUAAAGAAAACUAAGCAGGAGAAAAAUGGUAAGAAUAUGGCUACUUAUAAAGGAGUGGAAAACAUCUUUUCAUAUACACUGAAGAUCAAGAAAAAGUUUAUUUCAAGAGAGACUUAGGUUUAGAUUUCAGAUAAAAAAUUUCUAGUGAUACAAGUAAUGGAACACCAAAAUGCAUUACCGAGAGAAGCUGUUAAAUUUCAUGUGCGAGUCAAGAUUUUUUAAAAUGCAUUGAGAAGGUGCUUUCUUGUAUGGAUAGUUAUUCCCUUCAGAAAGGUGGAAGGACAGACCAGCUGUUCUGAAACACAGGAUCUUACUAUGAAGUCUGUUUUCUCUACUGUGUUAUAGCUAUUUUUUUCUAUGGUCUGGGAAGAAGCUAACCAACUUUAGACCUGCCGAUGUUGGAAGCAAAAAAAAAAAAAUCUUACUUUUCUCACAUUUUCCUUCUUCCCUUUUAAUUUUUUCUUUUCUGUUUGUUUCUUCUGGAUCCAUUGAAUAGGGAAUGGCUUUUGUCUCACUGCUAGACUAACACUCUGUAAUCUUUCUUCCAUAUCUGUGCAAAGCUACUCUCUUUUUCUUGUGUGUUUCUAGAGUACAUCCCUGCAAAGUUAUACUAAAUCCUUGCUUGAUUGCACAUUGGAUACACAGUUUUCAACGACAGAAAUAAUCCUAUUCCUGCAGAUAUUAUCAAGAUUUGUUCCCAGCUUCUGAUUCUUAAGUUAGCAGAAGCAUAAUUUUUCUUAUAUGUAGUUUUGGUCAACAUGAACUUGGCUGUGAAAGAGAAUUCUCAGUCACUGAACUGCUGUGAGUUUUUAAAGAACCAGGCCUAUACAAAAGUUACUCGCUGUUCUUCCAAAAGAUCCCAGAAGUAGUACCUCACUGUACUGGGAAGAGAUUAUUUACUCUCCUUUUUUUUUAAUUAUUUUUAUUUUUACUUUGCCUGACAGUUUUCAUAGAAUACUAAAUAAUGCCAGCAGGAUUUAAAUUUGAAUUCAGAAUUAUUUCAAUUACCUUAAAUGUUUCACUUUUUUUUCAAACUAAAUGCAUAAAUAGGAUCUGCUCAAACAUGCCUAGCAGGAGGCAUUUAAAUGCCUCAUGCAGAUAGGCUGUUCCCUGCUUCCUUGUUUGGUUUUCCCUUUCUUGUUUAAAAAAAUCCAGUAGUGAAUGAAUGAAACAUAAUUAUGCAAAUAUGCUAAAUCCAGUUGACAGGCAGGAUGCAGGCAAUGCUAAAGCAAAACUGGUAAGCUAAGGGCAAUGUCUACAUUUCAUUAUUUAUAUGGGGCUAGAUGUGAAAAGGCAUUUGAGCACCCAGAGAGACAGGCAGUCAGUAAUAUUUACAAAAACACCUCACUGUGUGUGGUGUAUUAUUCCUGUACAGUUUUACUAGUGGCAAUGUGGGGAAAUUAGUAGGGGAAAUUAGUCAGCAGUGGUCCUCCAAAUUAAUCUACUUUAUGAGUCAGCAAUCUUAUGUGUUUCUCUGAAUGCAAAUCCCAAGUGCAAAACAAGUGUCAUGCAUAAAUCGGCACUCUCUGUUUUUUUAAAUUACUGCAUGCUGUGUGUAAGAAACGAGCAUUUUGUACAGUAUAUAGAAACUCUGCUAGUGACAGUUUUACCUGUUCAUAUUGAAAUGCUGUAGGAAAUUAUAGAUCAUGAGCUGUAAUUUCAGUGGUAAACCCAAAAGUUAUUUCCAAGUCUCUGCAAAGGUGUGUCAUAAAUCUGGUCAAAGAGAACAUGACAAAGAACUUACAUAGUUAGCAUUUUUCUCCUGUAAGGAGCUGAAGAAAAACUGAAAAGAAAAAAAAAAAAGCAAUGGCAGUAUUGUUUCUAUGUGCAAUUUAUGAAAGACAUUGCUUCUGACACAGCUACUUAUGGAUACUGACCUUUGUAAAGGAAUAAGGAUGCAAACCUUCAUAUGUUGAGGUAGAUUGGUCAUUAUGAAUAGAGUCGAGGAUUCCAAGCAAAAUAAAGCCUAAAAUUUGUCAGUUUUAGCAGUUUGCUAUAAAACUCACACAACAAAUUUGUUUUGAGUCCAAUCUAUUGAACAGUCACAUUACUGAGUUGGACAAUGAAUUAUGGAGUACACAUAAAACUGGCAGAUGGCAUCUUUCUAGGAGGGAUUCCAAGCACUUCGGAGGACAAGAUCAGUACUCACAGAGAUCCUAAAAAUGUUGCUGAAAUACUCCAAAACCAACAGUAUUAAAUUUUAAGGAAUUAUAUGCUUGGGAAGGAAGAAAACCAACAGAAAAUGUGAAAUGGCUGAACAGAAAAACAUCUAGCAGCAAUGAUGAAUUAAAAUAUCUUAAUAUGUUUGAACAUUAUAUCAAGUAAAAAGACCAGUGUCAUUCUGGAGUGUGCUAGGUGGCAUGCCAUAAUUUAGAGAUGGAGGUCUUUAUUCUGCCCCAUGCAGCAGUAACAGGACUUCAGCUAAAAUAUGUGGUCAUAUUUUGAGCAUGGCAUUUUAAGAAAAGAUGCAGCCUGAGUGUGGGCCAAGAGCAUAAAUACUGCUAAGACAUUUAAAAAUGUGACAGAAGUUUGAAAGAAAUGGGUUUGUUUAGUUUUGAAAAGGAUGAGGAAUAAUUCAGUAAUCAUCAAAUAUGUAAAAUGAGCAUGGUCAUCAGUUACUCUCCAUGUUCACCCA